GUGGGGGUCGGAUCGCUCGGCGUGAGGGGACAGCGGGAGCGGCGUCACCGGGAAUGAGCGGGGCUGCUCGCCGGGGCCUCGCAGAGCCGGCCGGAGCUGCGGAGCCGGCACUGCCUUGUGCCAGUGUGCCCAGGGGCGGCCGCUCACGGCUAUGGACUGACAGGUACAACUGUUUAUCCCCGUGGCAGCCACUUCAGUCAGUCACUUUCUCCUGCUGAAUUCCCUGCCAUGUCAGAACGAUGCUCACCGAGGGCUCCCAGCGUUACCCUUUUUGCACUGAGCUUUUUGCAUGUUUCAACGUACCCCAAGAAAUGGCACAACCGAACAUGCCUGCGGAGAGAGAGCCUGGUGGCAUUUGUUUUGCAUCAUCUUGAAGCGAUUUCAGAUGUGACAUCACGUCACAGAUGUGGCUUCAGAUGUGGCUUCACGUUACUAAGAUUCCACGUUAUCACUAAAACUUAGGGCUGAUGUUUUCAUAUUGAACUGAAACACUGUAAAAGACCAUGAAUCUAUGUUAGCAAAAUAAGAUCAUUCCUUUAACAAUACCUUCUAAUUUGUCGUCACAGCUUAAGUAAGUGUUUUAAUGAGAAAUGAAAUUCUGAGAUUGCAAGUGUGCUGUUAAAAGAUAAAGGCAUCAAUGCUCUGUG